GAAUGAAGGCAGCAUGGUAAUGUGCACAGAAAUUGAAUGGGUCAACAUGUCUGCCCCCUCUGAUUCCUCCUUUGAUGAGGGGGCCUGGUUUCGAUCCACAUCU
rfam:Ricinus communis cultivar Hale ctg_1100012358992, whole genome shotgun sequence.